CCUACGUGAGGCAGCAGUAGGGAAUCUUCCACAAUGGGCGAAAGCCUGAUGGAGCAACGCCGCGUGGGUGAAGAAGGUCUUCGGAUCGUAAAACCCUGUUGUUAGAGAAGACAGUGCGUGAGAGUAACUGUUCACGUUUCGACGGUAUCUAACCAGAAAGCCACGGCUAACUACGUGCCAGCAGCGGCGGUAAUACGUAGGUGGCAAGCGUUAACCGGAUUUAUUGGGCGUAAAGGGAACGCAGGCGGUCUUGUAAGUCUGAUGUGAAAGCCUUCGGGUUAACCGGAGUAGUGCAUUGGAAACUGGGUGACUUGAGUGCAGAAGAGGAGAGUGGAACGCCAUGUGUAGCGGUGAAAUGCGUAGAUAUAUGGAAGAACACCAGUGGCGAAAGCGGCUCUCUGGUCUGUAACUGACGCUGAGGUUCGAAAGCGUGGGUAGCAAACAGGAUUAGAUACCCUUGUAGUC
rnacentral:rRNA from 1 species